rnacentral:rRNA from 1 species
GACGAACGCUGGCGGCGUGCUUAACACAUGCAAGUCGAACGAUGAACCCGGAGCUUGCUCCGGUGGAUUAGUGGCGAACGGGUGAGUAACACGUGAGUAACCUGCCCUUGACUCUGGGAUAACUGCGGGAAACUGUAGCUAAUACCGGAUACGACCCUCGGCGGCAUCGCCAGGGGGUGGAAAGAAUUUCGGUCAAGGAUGGACUCGCGGCCUAUCAGCGAGUUGGUGAGGUAACGGCUCACCAAGGCGACGACGGGUAGCCGGCCUGAGAGGGUGACCCGCCACACUGGGGCUGAGACACGGCCCAGACACCGACGGGAGGCAGCAGUGGGGAGUAUUGCACAAGGGGCGCAAGCCUAAUGCAGGAACGCCGCGUGAGGGAUGACGGACUUCGGGUUGUAAACCUCUUUUAGUAGGGGAGAAGCGAAAGUGACGGUACCUGCAGAAAAAGCACCGGCUAACUACGUGCCAGCAGCCGCGGUAA